CCUACGGGUGACAGCAGUGAGGAAUAUUGGUCAAUGGACGAGAGUCUGAACCAGCCAAGUAGCGUGAAGGAUGACUGCCCUAUGGGUUGUAAACUUCUUUUAUAUGGGAAUAAAACGUUCCACGUGUGGGAUUUUGUAUGUACCAUAUGAAUAAGGAUUGGCUAACUCCGUGCCAGCAGCCGCGGUAAUACGGAGGAUCCGAGCGUUAUCCGGAUUUAUUGGGUUUAAAGGGAGCGUAGGUGGAUUGUUAAGUCAGUUGUGAAAGUUUGCGGCUCAACCGUAAAAUUGCAGUUGAAACUGGCAGUCUUGAGUACAGUAGAGGUGGGCGGAAUUCGUGGUGUAGCGGUGAAAUGCUUAGAUAUCACGAAGAACUCCGAUUGCGAAGGCAGUUCACUGGACUGCAACUGACACUGAGGCUCGAAAGUGUGGGUAUCAAACAGGAUUAGAUACCCUUGUAGUC
rnacentral:rRNA from 1 species